rnacentral:rRNA from 1 species
GCCAGGGAACUACGAGCUAAGCUUAAAACCCAAAGGACUUGACGGUGCCCCAUAACCCCCUAGAGGAGCCUGUCCUAUAAUCGAUGAUCCCCGUUUAACCUCACCGCUCUUAGCUUAUUCAGCCUGUAUACUUCCGUCGCCAGCUUACCUCAUGAGCGAAAUUCAGUUAGCCUAAUGUCCUCCCACAAUAUCGUCAAUACGUCAGGUCAAAGUGCAGCAAAUAGAGCGGAAAGAGAUUGGCUACACUUUUUAGUAUAAAAGAUACGAAAGACAAUAAUGAAACUCUGUCAGAAGGUGGAUUUAGAAGUAAAAUGAAUUCAUUACAUUCACUUUAACAAGGCACUGGAGUGCGU